ACACGUAGGGGGCGAGCGUUAUCCGGAAUUACUGGGCGUAAAGCGUGCGUAGGCGGCUAUGCAAGCUGGGGGUCUAAGGCUGCGGCUUAACCGCAGCACGCCCUUGGAACUGUAUGGCUUGAGUGCAGGAGAGGAGAGUGGAAUUCCUAGUGUAGCGGUGAAAUGCGUAGAGAUUAGGAGGAACACCAGUGGCGAAGGCGACUCUCUGGACUGCAACUGACGCUCAGGCACGAAAGCGUGGGUAGCGAACAGGAUUAGAUACCCUGGUAGUCCACGCCGUAAACGAUGAGUGCUAGGUGUCGGAGGGGUUGCUCUUCGGUGCCGCAGCUAACGCAUUAAGCACUCCGCCUGGGGAGUACGGUCGCAAGACUGAA
rnacentral:rRNA from 1 species